GUAACACGUCGUCACAUAGUCCAGACAGUAUGUCAUGUGAAGCAUUAGCUGAUUGGCAGGACACACAAGUGAACCACAGUGUUGUAAUCUCAUGGUCCUAAUAUCCUGGAGAGGGGAAAGGCG